GGAGCCGGCUGGUCACGG
rnacentral:rRNA from 1 species